rnacentral:lncRNA from 1 species
CUGGAGAACCCAGCUGUGCUGUGGAUAUCAGGACAAAGAGUUUUGGUGUGUCUCCACCAUGAACUGCACACCUCUACUCUUCCCACUCCUCUUGCUCUACACAGGUGAUCUCUUCUGCCCUGUCCCAGAUUCUACCUGUAGGGGUNAUAAUGUAAAUGAAAAAUAAAAACAGAUUAAAUAUUUCUGAGAAAAGAGUUUCUUUCUUUCAAGGAUUCUAUACCAGGCAAAUCUAUUUUUCUAAAAUAAAAAUGUUAUUAUAGCUUGUAUUCCCCAUGUUCCCCCAAAUGUACAAGUGUUUAAAGCAAGCUCUCCAAUGCAGCAACACUCAGAGGUAGGGUACUUAUGAAACAAUUAGAUCAUGAGGGCUCUGAUGUCCUCAAUGAAUUAAUCCAUGGUGGUUGAAUAAAUGACUGGGAGGAGAAACCUACAAAAUCAAUGGGGGAACAUUUUGGAAGGAUUUAUCUUCUCCCUGGCUACUGCACCACCCUCCUCCUCCCCCUCCCCCUCCCCCUCCCUCCUCCUCCUCCUCUUCUUCUUCUUCUUCUUCUUCUUCUUCUUCUUCUUCUUCUUCUUCUUCUUCUUCUUUCUCUCUCUCUCUCUCUCUCUCUCUCUCUCUCUCUCUCUCUCUCCCUCCCUCCCUCCCUCCCCCCCUCUUCCAGAUUCCAUGUUCCAUGAGCUGACCAACUUCUCUCCAUGAAGCCCUUCUAUCAUGAGUUUUCUGCAAUUGAGUCAGAAGAUCAUAGAGUCCUAAAAAACUGUGAGUCAAAAUAAAUAUGUCCUCUUCAAAGGUGUUCUAAUCAGUAUAUGGUCAGAGUGAUGAAAAGAUGACUAAUAAAAAAGUGUUAGACACAGAGCACAUUACUGUUUUUCUGGUAGUCUUGCCCAUGAUUACAUCCUAACAGCACUUCUAAGACUAGACAAUGACAAGAGAUGGUAGCUGGAAAACCUGGAAAAUGCAAGUUAUCUUGUAAAGCUAACUAUAUAGGGGAACAUAAAUCCUAAUAUAUGUAUAGUAUUGUAACUUUAUUUUAUAUUAUUUUAUUGCAUAAAUGAAAAGGUGAAAAUUUCACAUUUUGAAUUGAUAAUACAAAUGGAAACAAAAUGAACACACAUCAAAUUGUGACAGUAACAUCAUAAACAAAGAGAAGGAAUAGCUAAGGGUAUGUGGAAAGGUAACAUAUGCUGAUAUUCUCUUGAAAUUCAUCAGUAUCAGAGUUUUGCAUAUGACUGAGCCCUUGAUGAUGAUGAUCAUAUGCUGAUGGAACUAAUUAAGUAUCAAUUCAAACUAUAUUGUUAUUUAGGUAAGUCAGUGUGUGUUAUACACAUAAUAGCCACUAUGAGAAAAUAGGUAAAAAGACAUUAAGAGGUAACCAAAAUGGUAUACUGGGGAAUAAUCAACCAAUCACAAUGGAAACCAGUAGUGGAACAGUGAAGAACAUAAAAAAUAAAUAAAUUAAUUAAAGAUAAGUUACAUGUAGAAAACAUCACAUUGACAGAAGUAUUUCAUUAUCAUUAAUAACAUUAAAUGAAAAAUAUGAGACUUGGUUACUCAAUACAUAAAAAGCCUGGGUCCCCUUUGGUUUAACACAUUUUCUCCAUUGUAUUUUUGGAGAAAGGCCACAGAUGAUUUAACCGUCUUCUAACAAAAACAAAGCACCUGGUCACAAGACCUGGAAUUGAAAUGACUCCCCAGCUACUGAGAAUGUUACCAAUCUGAGAGUUUAGGGCAAGUUUGUGUGGGUACAAUACACACAGGAGUGAGGCUGGACAAAGGCCCUUUGGUGACAAAGGCUUUGAGUUCACUAAGCAGAGACUGGCUCUUGCUCUGUGAAUACUCAACCAGCAGGGGGCAGCAGAGCAGUAGACAGAAGCAGACAGCAAACAGGCUGCUGAACAGGAUUAGUCCAAGAGUGAAGCCAUUUCUCUAAUUGCUAGAGAUGAUGAAUAUUUUUUUCAUAUAUUUGUUGAUUGAUUGUAUAUCCUCUUCUGAGAAGUGUCUGUUCAGGUCCUUGGACCAUUUAUUGAUUGAGUUAUUUGUUUUUUUGGUGCUGAGCUUUUUGAGUUCUAUAUAUACCCCAGAGAUUAGUGCUCUAUCAUUUGUGUGAAAGGUAACAAUUUGCUCCCAGGAUGUAGGCUCUCUGUUCAUCUCACAGAUUGUUUCCUUUGCUGAGAAAAAUAUUUUUAGCUUGAGUCCAUCUCAUCUAUUAAUUCUUGGUUUUAAUUCUUAUGCUAUAAGAGUCUUAUUAAGGAAUUUGGGGCCUAAUCCUACAUGAUGAAGAUUAAGACUUACUUUUUCUUCUAUUAGAUGUAGAGUUUCUGGUUUAAUUCCUAGGUAGUUGAUCCAUUUUGAGUUGAGUUUUGUGCAUGGUGAGAGAUAGGGAUUUAAUUUCAUUUUGUUGCAUAUGUAUUUCCAGUUGUUCCAGCACCAUUUGUUGAAGAGACUAUCUUUUCUCUCUAGCAAUUAGAGAAAUGCAAAUAAAAACUACUCUAAGAUAUCAUCCCACUCCAGACAGAAUGGCAGCUAUUAUGAAGACAAAUAACAAUAAGUGCUGGUGAGGAUAUGGGGGAAAAGGUACACUCAUACAUUGCUGGUGGGACUGCAAAUUGGUGCAGCCAUUAUGGAAAGCAGUAUGGAGAUUUCUUGGAAAUCUGGGACUGGAACCACCAUUUAACCUUAUCCCUCUCUUUGGUCUAUACACAAAGGACUUAAAAUCAGCAUACUACAGGGACACAGCCACAUCAAUGUUUAUAGCAGCACAUUUCACAAUUGCUAAACUGUGGAGCCAACCUCAAUGCCCUUCAGUAGAUGAAUGGGAAAAAAUGUGUCAUAUAUACACAAUGGAAUUUUACUCAGCAAUAAAAGAGAAUAAAAUCAUGGCAUUUACAAGUAAAUGGAUGGAGUAAAAGAAGAUAAUGCUAAGUAAGUCAGCCAAUCCCCCAAAUACAAAUGCUGAAUUUUUUUUUCUGAUAUAAGGAUGCUGAUUCUUAGCGGGGUAGGAAGGGGGAGCAUGGGAGGAAUAGACAAACUCUAGGUAGGGCAGAGGGGUCAGAGGUAAAGGGAGGGGUCAGGGGUUUAGCAAGGAUGAUGGAAUGUGAUAGGCAUCAUUAUCCAAAGUACAUGCAUGAAGGCACGAAUUGGUGUCAACAUACUUAAUAUACAACCAGAGAUAAGAAAAAUUUUGCUGUAUAUGUGUAAUGGAAAUUGUAAUGUAUUCCGCUAUUAUUUAUUUUUUUAAAAAAAUCAAUAAAAAAAGAGUGAAGCCAGCUCUGAGAGCCAACAGGAGCCCAAUUUCUGUCACCAAAUUAGACAUCAGGAGAGCCCAAACUAUGCCCUGGGCUGCAGUGAGCACAUUCUUAGGGUCAGGCAUACACAAGGUCACCACAGGACACUGUCAAGAGUCCAGGAACAAUGAGGACCUUACUGGGAAAUGCCCUGUAGGAUCCUGGUCAUACCUGCCAGCAUGGGCAGCCCUUGCUGGGAAAAACUCACUGGAGGGACCAAGCUGAGGUCCAGGUGCUCUAGCAAGGAGCACAGCAUGAGAAGAUGAGUUUACCACAUGUGUCAUUUUCUCAGCAUGAAUGCAUAGACCUCCUCCUAAUCUCAGGGCACCAUUUAUCACUGUCCAGAAGUCAUCCCAGGGAUACUGCUCCAUCCUAGACACUUUGAAAGAUUUUUGUACACUCCCCCUUAGCCUUUACUCCCACCUUCAGGCAUAUCUUGCCCAGGCUAUAUUUCCUAUGCUCAGGUGCAGUCUUGGAUGAGAGAAGAGGGCAUUUGGUCCCUUGUCCCUGGAUGGAGUAUGCACAGGCAGACUCUCAGAGUAACACUGCCCACCAUAUGCCUCACAUCACAUUCCCAAACCUUAAAUUAACCUUGGUCCAAUGACAGGAACCUCUCAUUUGAGGGAUCCUUGACAACCCACAUUCCAAAGCUCAGCCUUGCAAAACUGUGACACUGAUGAACUUCACAGAGAACACGGGGCCUAAAGCUGCUUUCUCCAUUAAUUUUGGAUUCUGACACUUUUAAACCUAUUACAUAAAACAUAAAUGAUAAAAAAUAGCAUAAACUUGUCUAUUGCUUGUAUAUUGUGGAAUGAAGGAUGUUAAACAGUGUUUUUGAGGCCAGAAAAUGUAGGAAACACAUGAAAUAAAGUGUUUGAUUAUGUGAACAAGGUAUAAUGUGAGACAUAAUUAAAGCAUCUUAACAACCAAAAAACAUUAAACAAAAUACCAAAGAUGAAAAAAAAGCUCAUCUGGGAAACAAUGAGAAUGAGGAAGAUGAGUGUCCAUUGUCCACCACAGCUGGACCCAGAUCAACAGAUCAGCCUAUGGCCAGGCUCCUGAAAAGUUAACAGCCCUGCUGAAAUGGAGAUAGAGAAGAUACAGCCCAGAGGAAUUGGAACAGUGGUCAAGUGUUAAAUUCCUGGAAAAUGAAAUUAAUCAGAGGUCAUGAAAUCAAGGUUGAUUUUCUGCCCAAAGCAGCUUGGAGAAAGUUGAAUCCUCAACCUCUACAUUCUCAGUCUCUUCUUCUGUACCCACAGCUGGUUUGCAUGACUUCCCAUAACUGGUGGUCACAUAGGAUGCAUAAUUUGCAUGAUCACCAAACAUGUAUUUACCCAAACAUCUUGAAAGCAAUAAGAGAGGACCUGGAGAACCCAGCUGUGCUGUGGAUAUCAGGACAAAGAGUUUUGGUGUGUCUCCACCAUGAACUGCACACCUCUACUCUUCCCACUCCUCUUGCUCUACACAGGUGAUCUCUUCUGCCCUGUCCCAGAUUCUACCUGUAGGGGUACCACAGGAUCAUGAGCUGGAUCUUCCCCAAAUGUGAAGUUUAUAUGGGACAUAGAUUUAUUUGGUCCCCUGGGUAUGGGUCCUUCAUCUCUAUCUCUUCUCUUGCAGGCUUUGUGGUCUCCUAUGAGCUGACUCAGCCAUCCUCAGUCUCAGUAGCCCCAGGACAGACAGCAACAAUCACCUGUUCUGGAGAUGAACUGCCAAAUAACUAUGCAAACUGGUUCCAGCAGCAGUACCCAGGACAGAGCCCUGUGCUGGUAACAUACAAAGAUAGUGAGAGACCUUCAGGGAUCCCAGAGAGAUUCUCUGGGUCCAGCUCAGGGACAACAGCCACUCUGACCAUCAGCAGAACUCAGACUGAAGAUGAGGCUGUCUAUUAUUGUUUAUCAUCAUAUGAUGAUAGUGAUAGUGGUAAUGCACUUCCCACAGUGACACAGGCAGAUGGGA